CUGCCUACCUAGUGGAACUGAAGACUGGCUUGAACCAUGCUCUGCUGUGGCCUUGUCCUACUCCUGGGCACUUUCUUAGGUGUCAGGGCUCAGAGCAUCCAUCAAUGGCCACCGACCCAGGUGCAACCUGUGGGGAGCCCCCUCUCCCUGGAAUGCACCUUGAAGGGGACAUCUAACCCCAAUCUCUACUGGUACCGCCAGCCUAUAGGGGGCGUCCUCCAGCUGCUCUUCUAUUCCCUUGGGGUAAAUCAGACUGAAUCUGAGGCUCCCCAACACUUCUCUGCAUCCAGACCCCAGGACGGCCAGUUCAUACUGGCUUCCCAGAAGCUGCUUCUCAGUGACUCCGGUGCCUACUUCUGUGCCUGGAGUCUCACACUGCAUCGGGCAGGGCAGACGGCUGGGCCCUCACCCAGGGGCUGGGUGGAGGACAUUCCUGUCCAUCAUCAGUCAGGGCAGAAACAGCUGAAUCACACUGGAUUCUCUAAGAAGAGCUUGAAUGGUUCUCGGGGAGAAUCAGAGUCUCCCAAUGUGGCUGUAUUUGAACCCUUUGAAGCAGAGAUCAACUACACCCAGAAGGCCACCCUCAUCUGCCUGGCUAGGGACACCACCAUGUGGAGCUCACCUGAUCCAGGGUUUGGGAAGAGGUUUAAUCUGCAGGGUAGCAGAAAGAAGAAAUAG